rnacentral:sRNA from 1 species
UCCGUAGGUGAACCUGCGGAAGGAUCAUUACCGAGUUGAUUCGAGCUCCGGCUCGACUCUCCCACCCUAUGUGUACCUACCUCUGUUGCUUUGGCGGGCCGCGGUCCUCCGCACCGGCCCCCGUUCGGGGGCUGGCCAGCGCCCGCCAGAGGACCACAAAACUCCAGUCAGUGAACGUCGCAGUCUGAAAAACAAGUUAAUAAACUAAAACUUUCAACAACGGAUCUCUUGGUUCUGGCAUCGAUGAAGAACGCAGCGAAAUGCGAUAAGUAAUGUGAAUUGCAGAAUUCAGUGAAUCAUCGAAUCUUUGAACGCACAUUGCGCCCCUUGGUAUUCCGAGGGGCAUGCCUGUUCGAGCGUCAUUUCAACCCUCAAGCUCUGCUUGGUAUUGGGCUCCGUCCUCCACGGACGCGCCUCAAAGACCUCGGCGGUGGCGUCUUGCCUCAAGCGUAGUAGAAAACACCUCGCUUUGGAGCGCACGGCGUCGCCCGCCGGACGAACCUUUGAAUUUUUCUCAAGGUUGACCUCGGAUCAGGUAGGGAUACCCGCUGAACUUAAGCAUAUCAAUAAGCGGAGGA